rnacentral:misc_RNA from 1 species
GAUGAAGAACGUAGCGAAAUGCGAUAAGUAUUGUGAAUUGCAGAAUUCAGUGAAUCAUCGAAUCUUUGAACGCACAUUGCGCCCCUUGGUAUUCCAUGGGGCAUGCCUGUUCGAGCGUCAUUUGUACCUUCAAGCCUUGCUUGGUGUUGGGUGUUUGUCUCGCCUCUGCGCGCAGACUCGCCUCAAAACAAUUGGCAGCCGGCGUAUUGAUUUCGGAGCGCAGUACAUCUCGCGCUUUGCACUCAGAACGACGACGUCCAAAAGUACAUUUUUACACUCUUGACCUCGGAUCAGGUAGGGAUACCCGCUGAACUUAAGCAUAUCAAUAAGCGGAGGA